CCAGGGGCAAACGCAGCUCUGGAUGAAUGGGACGCACAAAUCCGGAAAUUACCGGAGGAAUUUGAAAGUGAUGCUGAACUGGAGGAAUGUGACACAGAG